GGGCCCGCACAAGCGGUGGAGUAUGUGGUUUAAUUCGAAGCAACGCGCAGAACCUUACCAGCCCUUGACAUGUUAGGUUUGAUUACCAGAGAUGGUUUUCUUCAGUUCGGCUGGCCUAAACACAGGUGCUGCAUGGCUGUCGUCAGCUCGUGUCGUGAGAUGUUGGGUUAAGUCCCGCAACGAGCGCAACCCUCAUCUUCUGUUGCCAGCGGUUCGGCCGGGCACUCUGAAGAAACUGCCUGCGAUGAGCAGGAGGAAGGCGGGGAUGACGUCAAGUCCUCAUGGCCCUUAUGGGCUGGGCUACACACGUACUACAAUGGCAGUGACAGAGGGACGCUACCAGGUGACUGGAUGCAAAUCUCAAAAGCUGUCUCAGUUCGGAUUGUUGUCUGCAACUCGACAACAUG
rnacentral:rRNA from 1 species